CGGCUUCUUGUGACUGAUGAGCGGCCC
rnacentral:sRNA from 1 species